rfam:Picea glauca, whole genome shotgun sequence.
AUGUACAUUCCUACAACACAGUGUUAAUGCAAUGGAUCCCAUUAGAACUCUGCAGUUAAGCACACUCAGGCUAGAGUAGUACUGGGAUGGUUGACCUCCUUGGAAGUCCUAGUGUUUUACAUG